AGAUAGUUGAAGUAGAAAGUAAUUUCAUUACCAAAAGCAACAGCCUGAUAAGUGUCUAUAUCUUCUGGGCUACUGCGUGCUGGACUGCUGGACUAGGACUCCUGAUAGUUAAGUUUUAAUGGGCUGAGAGUAAUAUUAAUUAUAAUAUAUAUAAAUAUAUAUAAAAUAUAAAUAUAAAUAUUAUUUUUAUUAUAUAUAUUAAUAUUGCGGUGCGGUGCGGUUUGAACCGCAUUCAAGAAAACUAAAACCGCAACCCGCACCGCACCGCGCGGUUUGUGAAAGAUCC
rnacentral:lncRNA from 1 species